rnacentral:rRNA from 1 species
CGGGUCCUACGGGGGGCAGCAGUGGGGGAUAUUGCACAAUGGGGGAAACCCUGAUGCAGCGACGCCGCGUGUGGGAAGGCGGACCUCUGGAUUGUAAACCACUGUCCCCAGGGACGAAGAUGACGGUACCUGGGGAGGAAGCUCCGGCUAACUACGUGCCAGCAGCCGCGGUAAUACGUAGGGAGCAAGCGUUGUCCGGAAUUACUGGGUGUAAAGGGAGCGUAGGCGGGGUGGCAAGUUGGGUGUUAAAUCUACCGGCUCAACUGGUAGUCGCACUCAAAACUGCUAUUCUUGCGUGAAGUAGG